CCUACGGGUGGCAGCAGUGAGGAAUAUUGGUCAAUGGGCGCGAGCCUGAACCAGCCAAGUAGCGUGAAGGAUGACUGCCCUACGGGUUGUAAACUGCUUUUGUACAAGGGUAAACCUGAAUACGUGUAUUCAGCUGAAAGUACUGUACGAAUAAGGAUCGGCUAACUCCGUGCCAGCAGCCGCGGUAAUACGGAGGAUCCAAGCGUUAUCCGGAUUUAUUGGGUUUAAAGGGUGCGUAGGCGGAUUGAUAAGUUAGAGGUGAAAUGUCCGAGCUUAACUCGGGAACUGCCUCUAAUACUGUUGAUCUAGAGAGUAGAUGCGGUAGGCGGAAUGUAUGGUGUAGCGGUGAAAUGCUUAGAGAUCAUACAGAACACCGAUUGCGAAGGCAGCUUACCAAUCUAUAUCUGACGUUGAGGCACGAAAGCGUGGGGAGCAAACAGGAUUAGAUACCCCAGUAGUC
rnacentral:rRNA from 1 species